rnacentral:snoRNA from 1 species
UCGGUAUGAACCAUGGUAUCCGGAACCUAAGGAGACAGGAACCUAAGUCCGGUGGAUGAACCAUGGCCGUUUGAUCAGAGCGGGAUUAACGGCUCUCCUCCUCCCUUGCGGUGGCGGAGCAAAUGUAGGGGAUCGUUAUCAGCUCCUCAAUUUCGAGGGCUGUGGUGGUCACACGGCUGUCUGACAGACU